UACGUAGGUGGCAAUCGUUGUCCGGAAUUAUUGGGCGUAAAGCGCGCGCAGGCGGUCUCUUAAGUCUGAUGUGAAAGCCCACGGCUCAACCGUGGAGGGUCAUUGGAAACUGGGGGACUUGAGUACAGAAGAGGAAAGUGGAAUUCCACGUGUAGCGGUGAAAUGCGUAGAUAUGUGGAGGAACACCAGUGGCGAAGGCGACUUUCUGGUCUGUAACUGACGCUGAGGCGCGAAAGCGUGGGGAGCAAACAGG
rnacentral:rRNA from 1 species